rnacentral:lncRNA from 1 species
GAUUACAAGUAGGCAGAGAGGCAGGCAGAGAGAGAGAGAGGAGGAAGCAGGUUCCCCGCUGAGCAGAGAGCCCGAUGCGGGGCUCGAUCCCAGGACCCUGGGAUCAUGACCUGAGCCGAAGACAGAGGCUUUAACCCACUGAGCCACCCAGGCGCACUGUCCCAUUUGUGUUUUUAUCCUAACAAUUCUAAUAGUGACUCUCCAAAUGAACAUAUAUGAACAAGCUUAUAAUGUGUAUCCAGAUAGGUAGCUAUUAAUAAAUGAUACAUCCCAUGAUCAUUAAUAUUUCAAUAACCUUUUGCUUUGAUUCACAUCAUGGCUUAAAUAUGCUAUUUGAAAGCAAAUAAGAAUUAAGAGAAAUCCAUAACAACUAAGAGAUCUUGUCUAAUUAUAAAUUUUCAUUUCACUUAUAUGCAAAUUUCAGUUACUAUAUUCUUAGCAAUCAAAUUCAAAUUCUUAGAUCUCAAACAUGAAUGAGGACUAAGAAAAAUAUCAAACUUCUAUGUUAAAUUUGUUCUUCCUGCAUCUCGUCUUUCUGGCACUUUCAUAUUUAGUCAUCACAUUUCCUUUUCUGCUUGCUCAGUUUCCACAUACAACCAGAUCAGCAGAAGGGGAGGGAAAACAUCUCAUUUGAGGGCAGUGAAGGAAAGAAUCUCUCUUAAUCUAUCCGUCUCUCUCUCCCUCUCUCCUACAUGCAUGCACGUGUGAAUACGCGUGCGCGUGCGCAUACACACACACAUACACACACACAGAGUAGAGGAGGGUUCUCUGCUUGCAAAUGCUCAUUUGGAAUUCAGAAUGUAUUUUACCACAGAAAUAAUAAGAAACUCUAACAAUGUAAGUAAUACAGUUUACCUUCAUUGUGGGUUAAACGAAGAAUUUGUAGGCUGGCUUUGGAAGCCAGUUUGACAACACUACAUAAGGGAAAUUUCCAGUCUGAAUCUUAACAGCUGUUUUCCAAGGACGUUGUUAGAGUACUUUGGAUUGUGUGGGUCUGGGACUGCCUGCCCUGUGCAGGGCUGUGCGUGGCGAUUUGGAAGAGAAGAGGAGCAAGGCAUUUGCAGGUUCCACUGGGAGACAGGACCUGCAAUGAAAUUGUUACUUCAUCCCAGAAACAGGUCCCUUCUCUUCUGCGCAGGUUCCGGUCCUCUCCUGCGCUCUUCGUGGCUCCACUUCGCAUCCGUCUUCCCCUCCUGAAGCUAGCCCAGCCUGCUGACUUCAGACCCGCGUCUUGACGCGGGGACAGCAGAUUGCACAGACUGCUUAACCAGCUCCCAUAAUCAUGUACAUUCUAAUCCCUACAAUAAACUCCUUGUUUCACUCAAAGUGGUUUGCUUCUCCAAUCAAACUUUAAUUGAUA